rnacentral:other from 1 species
GCGGGGCUGCCCGGUGCGUCAGGUAAACCACCCCCGGGGCCGAUAAGCAUCUCCCAGGGAGCUGGCUCUGCCCUGGCCCUGGUCAGGGUAUCCGGCGCCCACCUGCUCACGCAGGCCUUGGGAGGGUAGUAACGCCAACGGCCAUGGCGGCUCCGCA